AGAGGCGGAUGAAACCACGGGAAAGGACUCGGGGCUGAAAUCAACACACUUGACUGGGUUUGGGGAGCUAAGUCAAUCAGCAGUCGCCCGAAAAAGAACUCCGAAAAAGGAAAAUAAAAGGGGAAAAAAAGAGUUCCUCAGGUCAUUCCCCUGCCCAACUUCCUCAGCGGCCCGGUGGGCGAGGCAGUGAGACUUCCACCGCCCGCUCCCAGCCUCUGCCUCCCCCACCCUCCCGGCUCCCUCCCGGCCUAGGCGGCCGCCCGACACCUCACUUACCCUCGGAGCCUGGCGGGUGCUUUGGCCACGGGCCGCCUCCGCCUCUCCCGCUCCCUACGGCCCGCGGGCGGGCGCGGAACCCUCGCGCGGGAGAGCAGGGCCGGCAGGUGAGAGCCGAGAGAGGCGAGGGACUCUGCUUUCGGUAAAUAGGAAGCCCGGUUGGGGGGGCAGGAGCGGCGGCCCCGCAACUUCCCUCCCCGCCUCGAGCGCCGCCGGCCGGGCCCAGGCCUAGCUCUCGCUGGCCGCCACUGCUGGAGCUGGUAACAGAGCCUGCUGUGUGCCCCCGCUGGGCCGCCGCCGCCUCCUGCGCCGCCGCUUCCGCCGGUGAAUGGUCAGUGCUGGAGUUUGAACAGGGCCCUGAACCAUCUCAACGCCAUUUGCGCUCCCGGCCCCCACCUCCUUCCUCCAACAGCCGCUCGCUCCGUCACUCCGCUUCCCACAGUCCCCGCGCGGCCGCCCGACCCCGCAGCCAAUCGCGCAGCCGCUUACUCAAACCGCCGCGCAGGCGCUGCGCCCCGCAUGCUCCGGCGCCCGCCAUUGGCCCGGCCGCGGAGCCCGACGGGAGUUGUAGUCCAGGUCCGCGAGGUCGCGGGCCGAGGACCAGGCGCGGGAGCGGGAGCGGGCGACUGGCCGGGCCCUCCCGGUCUCGGCAGCCACUUCUAGCUCCCGGCCCAGCCGGGAGACGCAGGUGCCACGGAGAUGGGCAGCCGGGCGGGUGGCGCAGUGCAGGCAGCUGUAUCAAUCGCUUCCCCUCCAGGGACCCGCCGGUGCCUGGGGACCGCGGGCUGUGCAGCUGUGCCGGGCCUGCGGAGGCCGCCGCCCGGGAGCUGGGAGGCAGGGGGCGCGUGGUCAAGAGCCGCCCUCGACCUGGCCUGGUCGGUCCUGGCCCGGCGUAGGUGACGAUGGCGGGGACCGCGAGGCGCCGGACACCCGAGGCCACGAGCAGCGUCGCCCCUCGCUUUUUCGCGCCCCUCCAGCCCUGCAGUCCUUCCUCUAAGUCCGUCUGCCCCUCACCGAUUGAAAGUGGCCCCGAGAAUAUUGGAUGGUAUUGAGCAAUUAUCAUUAACUUUGUUGGGUGUGGUAACGGUAAUGUGGUUAUGGUUUUUUGUUUUUUUUUUUUUAAGACCUACUGAUGUGUUGACAGAGUGAUCUGGUGUCAGGACUGUAAAAUACGCCUAUGAAAACUGGGGGAGAGGAAUAAAACAAGCUGGCAGAACGUUUUUCAUCGUUGAAGCUGCGUGAUGCGAGCAUAUGUGCUCAUCAUACAGUCUCUUUACUUGUGUAUCUGAAAUUUUCCAUAAUAAAAAGUUUAAAGAAGUGAACCAGCGAUUGCCUCUAGGGAGGACAGUGAGGUGGCGGAUGACGGGAGGAAGGAGUCUUAAUUUUUCGCUGUACGCCUUUUUGUGCUAUCUUAGGUUUUUCCCAUUCAAUGUGUUACCUAAUUCAGAAAAUUGGUAAGUUUUUUUUAAGGCUACCAUGGGAAAACAGCGUUCUAAAGAGUAGCGCAACCAGUUCCCCCUAAGAGAGGUGCAUGAUUCGUCGGACUCCGACAGCCUUGGUGUUUGUUAGGCGGUUAAUGGAGACCCACCUGGGAAAUUAGAAAACUACUAAUUGCUUUCAGUGAGAAGCCCGCCCUUCUCCCACAAAUGGAUAAUUUGCUUUUAAUGCACCCAGAAGUUAUCCAGCUCCCUCCGGUAUAAUCGGGGAAACUCCAAAUAAAGGAAAAAUAGUUCAGAGACCCUGCAGCUCUUCCCAAGAGGAAUUUAAGGUGGAUUUUAGUGUGGUUGGAUUGUUUUGCCUACCUGACUGCAGAAUUUAUAUUCUGACAUUUACAAUUUCCUAAAUACUGAAUCAGUACUUUUUCUUGUUUCAAAAUAAAUCAACUUCUUCUGUAGUUUAUAUGAAAAACAAGUCCAUGUCUUCCACUGUGGGUGGGAUGCACAUGACUGUUUUAUUUGGGUCAGUUUUGUCUCUUUUUUUAAUUGGCAGUUUAGGAACUUGUUUUUAUCAUUUUGUUUAAAGAUCUUCUGGCAGAGGUGCAGGCUGCACUUACUAUAAUUAUUUAGAUGACAAGGUGGUGGGUGGUAAUUAAAGGGUAAUUAUCAUCAGAGGCAAAAGGUAAGAUCAAAAAACCAGAAGAGGUGAGGAAACAAUUGCAAGAUCUUCCUGUAGGAGGGUGUCGUGAUCCUCCCAAGACCAAAGGAUAUGUCUAUUAUGCCUGGCCUCUCUAGUGCUGGACACUUGGCAGGGUCAGUGCCUGCAUGAGGCUGAAGUGGAAGGGCUUAUUGUUUAGACUGGUGCCUUUUGAGGGCUUUUAUGUGAUGGUUGUGUUAAGUAAUGAAACUUAGUAGUGUCAAAUUCUUGCCACUCAAAGAAUGAUCCCCAAUCAGCAGUGUAGCAUCACCUGGAAGCCUGUAAGGAACGCAUAAUUCCUAUCCCUCACCCCAGCUCCACUGAAUCAGAACCUGCAUUUUAACAGGAUUCCCCCAGCUGAUUGGGCUGCACAUUAAAGUUUGACAAGCACUGAUUUAAAGUAUACCCAUAGCAUUUGACAGCAAUCUAGUAUUUUUCGUUAGGAUGAGGGAGAGGAAGGGAGAUGAUUAAGAACCUCCUAUGCAUCAGGUAAGAUGCUAGGCUGUUCAGGGGCCUUGUCUGCUUCCCAGUCCAUUACUCUAUCUUACAAGUAAGGAAAUGGGAAGACUUGUAUGUUACAACUAAUGAGGGAGUCAAACUUUUUCUUGACGGUUGGAUACCCUUUAGUACUUCUUGGUGUUCUUGAAUCUGGUAGAAAGUGGUACAUGAUUUGAGAAGUAAAGUGUGUGUGAGUGUGUGUGUGUGUGUGUGUGUGUGUGUGUAUUUAGUCUGUGGAAGCUUAGUAUAUGAAUAUUAAGCAGAGCUCUUCUGGGCUCUGUACCCUUGUGUGGCUCACACUAAAGACACCCCUCGGGCCCCUCCUGGAGGGAGUUCAGACUCCUGGCCCUGCAGGCUGUACCACCACCUUAACCCCUUACCUCCCUGCUUCCACUGAGGCAAGCAAAUGCCCUGAAGUCCCCUCAUUCCCUUACCAGGGCCCUGGGUUCCACACCAGAAUGAGCAAACAGAACUCCAGUGUGGGUAACACAUGGCUGAACAGCUUUUUGUUGUAUUGUUUUUGUUUUCUUAGUUCUCUCAGCUCAGGCUCCAUCCCCCUGGCCACCUCAACCCCUAGAAUGGUUGUCUCCAUUUCAUGAGAAUCUUCACACUAACAUCAAGUAGCCAGUAGGUGCUUUUGGUUUUGCUAGAAUGCCUGUGUGCAAGCUCUCAGAUACCUGAUUUUCUUUCCCCCACUGAAUGUUGUGUUUGUCAGAAACUGAAAUCAUGGAUCAGAGCCAAGUUUGUAGUACCCUUAGGAGGGGCCUCUGCCCUCCUGUGUGCUGCCUGGGUGAGGACAGAACCCCCUAACCUGGAGCUCCACUUGAGUGGGCCCAUACCUGUACUUUCCUCUGAAAAAAGAAAAUCCUGCAAAGAAAAUAGAAGACAUCUGUUCUGCCAUUGCCAUGCCCUUGUUCUAGCCCAGACAUGAGAACUGUCAGAAUUGGAGUUACUAAAUAGAACUUUUAGUCUUUUUCUGAUAAUGUGUAGUAAAGUGUAUUACAACUUAUAGAAUUCUAUUUAGGGAACUACAGGUCAGAAACUACCAUAUUGGUAGCAGUCAAUUUUUCUUUGCCAUCGGAUGUGGAAUAAAAUGUUAAAUUG
rnacentral:lncRNA from 1 species